GAUGAUUGUCUCACUAAGUAAUUAUGAAAUACUUAUGCAUCUCUUUCUUUGAUGCAGGUAAAAGCAAAGUGUGAUCCGUGGAAUCAUGGCGAGGAGAGGAGGAUGAUCUAGGUGCUCAUUGGUGUUUAGAUGUUUGUAGGAUUUGUUAGAGUGCUAGGAUGGAAUUUAGAAGCAUGUUAGGAUGAAUUCGUUUUCUGGAAUAAUGAUAGUUGAACUUGUUGGAUUAAAGGAAUUGUUUGAUUGGAUUUUUGUUUAAGUCUUCCGCUGGUUACGUUGAAUUGGUUGUGUUAGUGAGAUUGUCUGGUUUGCUUUAAAUGGGUUAAUCCGGAUUGUUCGCAUGUUAAAAAAAAAAAAAUGGGAUGGGUUCUUUCAACGGCAACGAUACGAUAGGCGUUUCGUGCAUAUUUUUUUGAGUUUCAGACAGCAAGAAUCAGAAUCAUUUCAAACAACAUUUCUGUUUUUUAUCUCAACAAAAGUAAUGCGAAAAGAAUUUUGGAGUUUCUUCUAUAAGAUGAUAGCCAAUUAUGAGUAUGUGAAGGGGGGACGUAACAUAUUUUAUCUGUUUGCCUGUAAGGCUUCCAAUCGAAAAGCAAGGUCAUGUCUACUUCUUUAUCAAAACUGUAUUCAAUUUCCUUUAUUUAUGUCAAUGGUUGUUUAUGAAUGGUUCAUGUAUCAUGUAAAACUCUUUAUAAUAUAAUAUACUUGAUUUGGCGAAAAAGUAAUAUUUCAGAAGCCUUAAUUAAAUUGUUGUAACCCUCACAAACUAUUAUGAAUUAUCAAAUUAAAUAGCUCUCUGUAUGUAUCCAUUUAAUAAGUUCAUAUUGUAUAAAAGUAACAUUAUAGACUCACAUAGAUAUAAUUCUUUGCAUUUCUAUUGGCUCUCAUAUAAUAGAUAUAUUGGAGUGUGAAUUGAUUUUGAGGACAUAUCAUAACUAUUUUCUCCUUAAUAAUAGCCCUUUAAAAAGAAAUCUUUUUGUUGUUUGCAGGUUAACAAAAUUUAUUUUACUCACCCUUGACGUCUCGUCAUUGCCACCCUGUCAUUUGACUCAUGGUCGUUGUUUCGAGAGAUGUUGAACUUGGCUAAUUGCAUAUACUUGAGGUUGACAACUUGAAUUUUUUUGUGACUUUAGGUUGGUAUUUUCAUAGUAUCAAAGUUUGGGUAUUAAACAACUGUUAGGAUGAAUGAAUGAAUGAAUUUUCAAAUAGUUUAAUUUAUUCAUGUGCAUUAUUAUCUUGAGAAAUUCUUACUAAUAACCUUUUUAUGAUACCCUCUUGCAAAACUACCCUUUUUGUUUGCCAUUUUCAUUUUUGCCCGCUCUUAAAUUUUAAUGGUCAUUUUACCCCUAGUUGAAAGAAUAUUCCUUUCUUUGGAUGAAAUAUUAUUUCCAAAAAAUAUUCCCGAUAAAAAAAUUUUCGAUAAACUUUUCCUGCAGAAAAAUUUUUUUUUACAAAAUUUUCCCGCCAAAUGUUUUUUUAAGGGUUUACAAGAAGUUUUAAAGGGUCUUUUAAAGGAUUUACAAGGGUUUUUAAAGGAAUUUAGAAAAGUUUUUAAAUGGUUUUUAAAAGAUUUGUAAUAGUUUUUAAAGGGCUUUAGAAGUUUAUAAAGGUUUUUGAAUGGUUUUUAAAGGACAAUGAUUUUUAAAAGUUUUUAUAAGUUUAUAACAGUUUUUAAAGGAUUUACAAGGAUUUUUAAAAGAUUUUCAAAUGGUUUUUAAAAAUUUACAAGGAAUUUUAAAAGGUUUUUAAAAGAAUUAACAAGUGUUUUUAAAAAGAAUUACAAGUGUUUCUAAAUGCAUUUACAAGGAUUUAAGGGUUUAAAAAUUGUUUUAAAAGGAUUUACAAGCAUUUUUAAUGGUAUUUACAAAGAUUUUAAAAUAGCUUAAAGGAUUUACAAGGGGUUUUAAAGGGUUUUAGAAGUUUACGAAUGUUUUUAAAGGGAUUACAAAGGGUUUUAUAGGCAUUACAAGGACUUUAAAAUGGUUUUUUUAAGGAUUUACAAGGGUUUUUAAAAGGUUUUAGAAGUUUACAAAAGAUUUUAUUAAAGGAUUUACCACAGUUAUAAGGGGUUUAAAGGGAUUUACAAGUGUUUAUAAAUGUUAUAAAAUGAUUUACAUAGGUUGUAAAAGGUUUACUUAAGUUUUGAAAGGUUUUGGAUGAUUUUAAAAAGAUUUACAAGGAUUUUAAAAAUAUUUACUAGGUUUUUAAGGAAUUGCGGAAAAUUAUGGCUGAAAACUUUUGGCGGGAAAAUUUUUGUCGGAAAUUUUUGGCGGGAAAGUUAAUGUCAUAAAUUUUUGACGGAAAAUUUUUCGAAAUGAAUAUUCUUUUGUUGGAAAGAAUAUUCUGUUCUUCAACGUGGGUUAUACUAAAGGAUAGUAAUUUUGUCAUUUUGUACAUUAAAGAUGGUAUUUUUGAAAAUGGACAUCUAGACAGGGUAUUUGUAGAAAAUGAUAUCAUAAAAAGGUUAUUUGUGCAAAUCCCCCAAUUAUCUUUUCAAGUUUUAAUAAUUUAUUGUAAACUCGUUUGACUACUAUGCGUCUUUUGUUGGUUGAUUUAGUCAACCUAAAAAAAACAGAGGUAUUAUUUGCCUAUUAAUGUCCCCAUAUACACAUGUAAAAAAAACUUGAACUCUUUUUUGGUUUCUUACAUUAAACCAAUUAAAAAGUUGAUUUGAUGAGUUGUAAAUGAUGAGUUGUAAAUCAAGUUGUAAUGUUAAUACAACUUAUAUUUAUUAUACUGACAAAAAAACAUAAUUUAUCCUACUAAGUAACUGACAUAUGUCAGUAAACAUUUUAAUUAGUAAUCACAAACGCCUAUUUAUGGAUGAACAAAGUAAAGCUUAAGGUUUCUUUUGUUUCAGAUACAUAUUAGGUUUUUGUGAUUAUUGAUUUUAAUGGUGUGCAUAUUUGUAAAUAAGUGUUUACACCACAUCAAAUCCUCUUUUAAUUGGUAUAAUAUUAAAAGUUAAGGCCAAAGUUUUCUACUAUGGUAAAACAUAUAAGGCAAAAUGAAUAUAUAUGUUUCAUUUAAAACAUUUCAUGAGAUCUUAUCCAAAACAUUACAUUUUUCUACAAUUGUAUUUUAAAACCCAGGAUUAUGGUUGGGCUGACAAAAAAUUCAGACGGGAUUUUGUUAUAACAAAAGUGGGGAAUGUUUGUUUAACCCACUGUAAAAUUGGGAUAGGAAAAGACUAAAAAAUGAUCUUAUGAACAAACAUAUAAAAAUAUGCUAUUAUAACUUAUUUUUGAAAAACGUACUAGUUUGACGAUUUUUUUCAAAAACUUUUACUAAAACAUGAAAACUAGUCUCUAUGCAUGGCCUCCGCGUAAUAUACCUCACAUGCUCACAACUCCUCGCUCUCAGGUCGCAACCUAGAGCCAUACCGCUCUCACACUUAGACCUUAGUCUUUAAGUCAUACCAUCUCACUUUUGGGUCGUCACCCUCAAGCACUCCUAGUAUCCGGGGAACUAAUCAUACCCUAUGAGAACUAAUCAUCUCAUCUGCCACUCUCAUCAAAGGAAUCUUCUUACGCCAAAGUUCCUUAACCCUCCUCUCGAGAACCCUCACUGGUAUCGUCUCCAGGGUCAUGUUGGGCAGAAGAUCUGUAGGAAUCUUCGCCAACACCUCAUCAUCCUUAUGCCACCAUUUAUUAAGCAUCAACUCAUCUUUCCCCUCUAUAUAUUUCAUCUUUCUUAGAUGAUAUAUUUUAUGCGGUGUGGGGAAGCAUUUACAACAUAUAUCACACACCCAUAUAAUUUCAAACUAGAAAUAUUUUAUCUCCAAUAAUGAAUACAUAACACGGGAGAAAGAUUUCUUACAAAUUGUUUUCCUCAUGUAUAAUCAUUACUACAUGGAAAAUUUCACGUUUAAUCACCUAUGAAUCGUUUUGCAAUCUCUUGUAUUGCACUAUGAACAAUUCAUUAAAGCUCAUUUUUAGGGUGGACAUCAUGGAUGUUUCACAUUAUCACUUCAACAUAUAUAAUCGAUAAAAUAUGGGAUAUGAUUUCACCAAAUUUAUUUCGCUCUGGGUGUCAAAUUCACCAAAGUUUAUCGACUUAGUGUCAAUGUGGGAUUCUUUAAUUCUCCUCCUCGAGAUGAUAACUCUUGGAGUACAUUCAUCUCAGACUGAGUCCCACUUUAGGAUCAACAACAUACCACUUUUGUUCAUGUGUAUUUACAUCUUAAAUCAAAUAUGUGAGACCAGUAUUACCCCCUCUCUAGGUGAUGACUUUUUCGAGUCCAUUCACCUUGGAACAAAUAUAAGUUGUAGAUCGGCUAUACGAGGCUUAAAUUAUUAUCUUAUUAUCUUCCCACAAAGCUAUACAAAGCGUAGCUAAGUGUAACACCCCAACCGUCACCCCUCUAGUGGGCCACAUGUUCACUCUCAUCCCAUGUGCCCACCUCUCUAAAUGGGUCUCACGUCCUCUCACUAGGCCCAUGAGCUCAUCCAUCCUUUGACUACUACAAAUCAUCUUGAGUUCUCUCAGGACCUUUGACAGAAAAAUAAUUGCAAUUUGGUGACAUAGGUGGCCAAAUAAAUUCAUUUAAAAUUAACCAACUAAACCAACAGAAGAAAUAAACCAAAAACCAAUCCAAUAAACAAAUAUCGUUAAAUUAGCAAAUAUCCAGCAAUUCUUAUCCCUAUAUUAGUAAAAGAGAAGUACAAAAUGGAAUACGGGUCAGAUCAAAAUAAUAAAAAAUUACCCGAUUUAAACAAGAGAAUUUGUUAGAAAUACCCCUUUUGGGAUACCAAUUUUUAAAAAUACCCCAUUUUCUUGGCAUUUUUAAUCUUACCCUUCUUAAUUCUAAUUUGCCUAUUUUACCCUUCAUUUGAUCUGUCUUAAUUUCUCAGAUCUCCGAUGACGACUAAAUUGCGAAAAAGAUAAGCCUGAGGGCGGCGGAGUUGCUGCCGACGUCGGAAUUGCUGCCGACGGCGGAGUUGCUGCCGACGGUGGAGUUGCUACCGACGGCGAAGUUGCUGCCGACGGCGGAGUUGCUACCGUUCAGUCUUCGUCGUCGAUGUGUGAUCCCAUCAUUGUCAAUCUCUCUCUCUCUCUCUCUCUCUAUCUCUCUCUCAUCACUCUCAUCUCUCUCUCUAUCUCGCUCUCUAUCUCGCUCUCUCUCUCUCUCUCUUGUUAUCGUAGAUUCUGUUCUUCUCUGUUCUAAAAUAUGGUUUCUUAGAUCUGAAGAGACAAAAUCGGGAUAUGAAAUUAGCAUUUUAUGUUGUUCAAAAUUGAUGUCUGCAUUUUUUUAUGUAACUAAUCAUAGUAUUGAUGUCUGCAUUUUUUUUUGUAUUUUGGAUGAUUAGCUGAUGGUUUUGAAUCGGGAAUUGUUCAUAUGAUUGUGAAAUAGAUGGUGAUGGUGAUGAUUAGAGUUAGCAUUUUGUAAGCUAAUUAAGGGGUUUUGAUGGUGCUUAGUGUUCCAAGGAGAUAGUGAAAUCAUUCCAGAUCGAUGUUAAUUAAUGGGUUUCGUUCAUUUGAUUUGGAUGAUAGGUUUCAGCCCAACAUCAGGAGAUGUAGUCAUGGAAAAAAUGACCAAGUUGGUUCUUAUUAUGGUGUUUGACCAUGUUGCUCGUGGUGAAAAUGAGUUCUAGAGUCAAAUCCCAAAUUAUGUUCAUGGCUGAAAGAAUCACAACAAUAUGGAUUUUAAUUGUAUGUACGUUACUUUCAAAGUUAGAGUAUGGGUUUGAGAGAUGCUUUUGGUUUAUGAGGAAAUGAUAAAUCAUAGUUGAAGGUUUAGAUCCAACAAGAAUGAACUCACUCAAAGAAAGCUUGACAUUCCUUUUAAUUUUUCUUGUUGAUGCCGUCAUUUUAUAUUUGGUAUUGAUGAUUUGUAGAGGACCCUUUGAUAUUUAUUCUAGUUACAUGGACAUGAACGGUAGGGACAUGAACGUUAUUCUUAUUUUAUUGAUUGUCUUGAGGAUUUACUUGAUAUUGAAUUUUCCCUGCAUCUUCUCUUCAAAGAGGUCUGCUUAUGAGAGCUUGAUUUUGAUUUGCUUGAAUUGGUAUAUUUUAGGAAUGGAGCAACGUUGGGGAUAAAGUAUUUCUGCAGUUGUACCAUAUGAUGAGAGUGGAUAGAAUUAUGCAGGGGAAUAAGAACACCCACAAGAUCACGUUGUAUAAAAAAAAUUAUGGCUUGUAUUUAAACCUUAUACAGUUCGUUACUUUACGAUGGUGUGUCUUGACUACGUAAUCUCAACAUGAUCUAGGACAAGGCAUGAUCUAGGACAAGGCAUGACUAACAGACUUAUGAAAAAAACUUUUGUUUUGGCGGUUGGUUAUGGAUUUGAUGAUUUGAUUAUUUGAUGAAGACUGUGUUGUCUUGGCUUAUAAAGAACUGAAGGGGAGCAUAUUAGGUCGACAAAGGUUACUUUUAGUUGAAGAUUGGGAAGAAAGUUCUUUAACCAUUAUGAAACCAUGAGAGUGAAGAGCUUUUUAUAUAAUAAUUGAUUGUAUUAGCUUUUUAUGAAUUGCUUCGUAAGACUUUGUAAAACCUUCUAAAUAUGUUGUAAAAACUUUUUAGAUACUUUAUAGAAACCUUUUAAAACCUUAUAAAAGCCUUAUAAAAUCUUUAUAAAAGCUUUGUAAAGCCUUAUAAAAACCUUAUAAAAUUUAUUUAAAUAGUUUUGAAAGCCUUAAUAUACAUUUAAACGCCUUAUAAAACCUAGUAAUCAUUUUAAAUACUUUGUAAAAUAUUUUUAAAAAACCUUUAAAAAAGCCUUAUAAAAACCUUAUAAAAGCCUUAUAAGAACCUUAUAAAAGCUUUAUAGAAUCUUACAAAAACAUUGUAAAACUUUUUAAAUAGUUUUUAAGACCUUAAUAUACAUUUAAACACUUUAUAAAACCUUUUAAAUACUUUUUAAAACAUUUUUUAAAAACCUUAUAAAAGCCUUAUAAAAGCUUUAUAAAAAACCUUAUACAAACAUUGUAAAACUAUUUAAAUACUUCGUAAAAAAUUUUUUAAAAACCUUAUAAAAGCCUUAUAAAAGCUUUAUAAAAACCUUAUAAAAACAUAGUUUUUAAGACCUUAAUAUACAAUUAAAAACCUUAUAAAACCUUUUAAAUACUUUGUAAAACAUUUUUUAAAAAAGCCUUGUAAUUUUUUUAAAUAGUUUUGAAAGCCUUAAUAUACAUUUAAACACCUUAUAAAAACUUUUAGACCCCUUGUAAAAUGCUUUAAAAGGUUUUUAUUGAUCUAACAAGGAUCCUCGAGUUGACUCGAUAUAUAAUCACCCCUCAACGUCCAAGAAUAUAGUUCUUAAACCAUUUAAAAACCUUAUAAAAUCUUUAUAAAAGCCUUGUAAAAAUUUAUAAAAGCUUUAUAAUAGUUUUAAAAACCUCAAUAUACAUUUAAACACCUUAUAAAACUGUUGAUAAAAAAAGAAUGGAUUUUAAAAAGAAAGAAAUUGUUGACAUGUUUAAAAAAAAUAUUUAAAAGGUUGUAUAGGGAUUUUAAAAGGUUUUACAAUUUUUUACAAUGUUUUUAAAAGUUUUAAGGAAUUUAUAAGAAAUUUAUACGGUUUUUAAAUAGGUUUUUGAGGUGUUUAAAUGUAUGUUAAGGUUUUAAAAACUAUUUGAAAAAUUUUACAAGGUUUUUAUAAGGUUUUAUAAGACUUUUAUAAAGAUUUUAUAAGGUUUUAUAAUGUUUUAAAGCUUUUAUAAGACUUUUAUAAAGAUUUUAUAAUGUUUUUAAGCUCUUAAAAGAUUUUAUAAGAUUUUUAUAAAGAUUUUAUAAGACAUUUAUAAGGUUGUUAAAAGGUUUUAUAACGUGUUUAAAUGUAUAUUAAAGUUUUCAAAACUAUUUAAAAACUUUUACAAGGCAAACAACGCGUUUAUAAAGCUCUUAUAAAGCUUUAAUAAGGUUUUACAAGGCUUUUAUAAAGCUUUUAACAUGAUUUUACAAGGUUUUUAAAAGGGUGUAUGAUGAUUUAAAAACUUUACAAGGGUUUAAAAAGAUUUUAUAAGAUUGUAUAAAGAUUUUAAAAGGUUUUAAAAAAAUUAACAAAGUUAAAGGGUGUGUGUGCAUUUAUGUCUAUAACAAAUAUUCGAAUAUUUUCAUUGACAGACAAUGCAACUUUAAAGAUAUAUUAUGAAUCCUUAAUAUUCUAUAACUGAUGUACUACUUGUAUAAUCAAAAAUACAAAUAAGAAUUGCAGAAAAGUUAAACAAUGUAACAUGUCGUGUUUCAUAUACAAUAUAAGCUCUCCUGCAAUAUAAAACCAGUCCGAGCCAUGUUUCUUAUUGUUUGAUCCUUUCACACUAAAUCCACAUAAGCAUGAGCUCCUAAUUGUGUUGCAUGUUGUAUGUCCCACCUUCAACAAGAGCAACUUGAGCCAGAUCAUUAAACAACAUUCCUCGCUUGGAUUCAACAUUAUACAAAAACUGAUGGAUUUGUGUUCUCUGCAACAUUCAUAAUUUUAAAAGAGAAUGUAUUAUUACCUCAAUGCAAGUCAAGAUCUCUUGGGGGUGAAAGAGAUUGUGAAUAUUGGGCAUCUCUCCUCCAUCCUCCUUUGUCUAUAGUCUCAGGUGCUCCAACAAAGACGCACCAAUCACUAUACAUUUACAUCAUCUCUUCUUCUAUGUACAAAGACAAUCCAAAAUGAGAUUUUCUACCUAAGUAGCAUAAAAGACAACACAUAUAAAACAAAUGCACGUAAGAAUGAAAAACACAAGUAGCUAAAAGCAAAUAAAUGUCAUUCUUUACGAUAUAUAAACAUUACAACUAAUCAAAUUAUGAGACCAAACCUUCAGAUCAAUAUCCAUUAGUCGAUUUAGGUAUCACCUUAGACUUGGUUCAAAAUCAUGGCAUUCCUGACACCCCAUAUGCUCAAUUGACCAAACAAGAUUUCCAUCUAUGAAAAUCAAUAGAACUAAAUUAAUGAUGACGAGAGGGGAUACAAAAUGUCAAAUAAGGUUGUGACAGAGAACUCCACUACCUCCGCUGCUAUUUUGAGAAGCGAAAGCUAGUUCGAGAUCGAAUCGCAAUGAAGUUGAGAUUCGUUUAGAUAGACGACGAGAUCAGAACGACAACAACAGCGACGAUGACGAUGACGAUGACGACAUGAUGAUGAAGACGACGACGGCACACCGACAAAGAUGAGACGACGACGACACACCGACAAAGACGAGACGAUGACGACACACCGACGAAGACGAGAUCGAGCAAGAGAGUUUGACGGCGAGAGGCAAGAGAAAUUCCAAAACAAAAGAAAUUAAGUUAGUUUUUGAAGGGUAGAAUUGUCUUUUUGACCAAAAAUGGGGGUAUUUUUAAAAAUGGUCUUCCUUGUGGGGUAUUUUUAAAAAAUUUCUCCCUAAAAGGGGUAUUUUUAAAAUUGUCCCUUUAAACAAUUGGAUACUUCAAAAUUGGAUAUUAAAUUGGGUUUGGAUACAUACAUCGGAUACUUCCCAUAUCUAAUUUUAGGAUUGUAUUAUUUCCAUAACUAAUUAUAAGAUUUCCUAAUAUUUUUUGGGAGAUUUUCACAAGUAACCUUUUUAUGAUAUCAUUUUCUAUAAGUACCCACUUUAGGUAUCAAUUUUCAAAAAUACCCUCUUCAAAGUACAAAAUGACUAAAUUACCCUCAUUUAUGAUAACCCAUGAUGAAGAAAAGAAUAUUCUUUCCAACAAAAAGAAUAUUCCCUCUGAAAAAUUUCCCGCCAAAAAUUUCCCCCCAAAAAAGUUUUCCCGCCAAAACAUUUCCGAUAAAAAAUUUCCCGCCAAAACUUUUUCCGCAAUUCCUUAAAAACCAUUUUAAACACCUUGUAAAUAUUUUUGAAUCUUUUAAAAUCCUUUAAAACCCCUUGUAAAUCUUUUAAAAGUCAUCCAAAACCUUUCAAAAUUUGACUAAACCUUUUAGGCAUUUCGUUUAAGGCAACACGACGUCGUUUGUACUUGUGAUUCUCAUUUUUCGACUUAACAGAGAUCGAUUAACGAUCCUAAACGGCUGUUAACUCCUCUGUUAGACUCUGUUAGAGGAUUUGAUUUGACGACAUGUUCAAUCUAGCUCAGGCAACAGAAGAUGGUGAUUUAAAAAUAAUGUCAACGAAAAGUCUAUGAUUUUAAUUGCCACAGUGGAAAUCGAGGAUUAAAAUGGCCAAAAUUUGUUGGUUGGUUGGUUCUUUUCUUUGGAUAAUGGUUGAAUGUGCUUGUGUGUAUAGCCAGUGGUGGGAUGAUUGCCCCACUAAGUAUUAAUGAAAUACUUAUGCAUCUAUUUCUUUGAUGCAGGUAAAAGCAAAGUGUAAUCCGUGGAAACAUGGCGAGGAGAGGAGGAUGAUCUCCGCGCUCAUAGGUGUUUUAGAUUAUUGUUAGAUUUGUUAGGGUGUUAGAACGGAAUUUAGAAGCAUGUUAUGGUGCUCAUGUUUCUGGAAUAAUGUUUGGUUGAACUUGUUGGUUUAAUGGAAUUAAUUUCAUGGAUUGUGUUUAAGUCUUCUGCUGGUUAUGUUAUAUGUGAUUUAAUUGAUCUAAAUUGAUCAGGCUGGUUUAGUUGGUUUACAAUUAGUUGGGUUAAUCCGGUCUGCAUGUUUUCAAAAAAAAAAAAAAACGGGAUGGGUUCUUUCACACUACUCCUUUUACCAACAAUUCUCGGUUUUAACGCCGUGACCGCCACCUCUAUAGUGGGUCCCAUGUUCACCAUCAGCCCAUGGGCCCAUCUCUCUUAAUGGGCAUCUCGUCCUCUCACUAGGCCCAUGAUCC
rnacentral:lncRNA from 1 species